rnacentral:rRNA from 1 species
UACGAAGGGGGCUAGCGUUGCUCGGAAUCACUGGGCGUAAAGCGCACGUAGGCGGACUCUUAAGUCGGUGGUGAAAUCCUGGAGCUCAACUCCAGAACUGCCUUCGAUACUGAGAGUCUCGAGUCCGGGAGAGGUGAGUGGAACUGCGAGUGUAGAGGUGAAAUUCGUAGAUAUUCGCAAGAACACCAGUGGCGAAGGCGACUCACUGGGUCCGUUCUGACGCUGAGGUGCGAAAGCGAGGGGAGCAAACGGG